rnacentral:rRNA from 1 species
GGUAUGCACUGGCUCGCUGACUCCUCCUUCUUGUAGAACCGUAAUGCCAUUAAUUUGGUGUUGCGGGGAAACAGGACUGUUACUUUGAAAAAAUUAGAGUGUUUAAAGCAGGCCAACGCCUGAAUACAUUAGCAUGGAAUAAUGAAAUAGGACGUUCGAACCUAUUUUGUUGGUUUCUAGGAUUGACGUAAUGAUUAAUAGGGAUAGUUGGGGGCAUUAGUAUUCAAUUGUCAGAGGUGAAAUUCUUGGAUUUAUUGAAGACUGACUACUGCGAAAGCAUUUGCCAAGGAUGUUUUCAUUAAUCAAGAACGAAAGUUAGGGGAUCGAAGACGAUCAGAUACCGUCGUAGUCUUAACCAUAAACUAUGCCGACUAGGGAUCGGAUGAUGUUAAUUUUUUAAUGACUCAUUCGGCGCCUUACG